rnacentral:rRNA from 1 species
GACGAACGCUGGCGGCGUGCUUAACACAUGCAAGUCGAACGGAAAGGCCCUGCUUUUGUGGGGUGCUCGAGUGGCGAACGGGUGAGUAACACGUGAGUAACCUGCCCUUGACUUUGGGAUAACUUCAGGAAACUGGGGCUAAUACCGGAUAGGAGCUCCUGCUGCAUGGUGGGGGUUGGAAAGUUUCGGCGGUUGGGGAUGGACUCGCGGCUUAUCAGCUUGUUGGUGGGGUAGUGGCUUACCAAGGCUUUGACGGGUAGCCGGCCUGAGAGGGUGACCGGCCACAUUGGGACUGAGAUACGGCCCAGACUCCUACGGGAGGCAGCAGUGGGGAAUAUUGCACAAUGGGCGGAAGCCUGAGGCAGCAACGCCGCGUGCGGGAUGACGACCUUCGGGUUGUAAACCGCUUUCGCCUGUGACGAAGCGUGAGUGACGGUAAUGGGUAAAGAAGCACCGGCUAACUACGUG